rnacentral:rRNA from 1 species
GCUGGCGGCGUGCCUCAGACAUGCAAGUCGAACGCGAAAGUCCCCUUCGGGGGAUAAGUAGAGUGGCGCACGGGUGAGUAACACGUAGGUAAUCUACCUUCGGGUGGGGAAUAACCCAGGGAAACUUGGGCUAACACCGCAUAAUGCAGCGGCACCACAUGGUGACAGUUGUUAAAGCGGGGGAUCUUAGGACCUCGCGCCUGAAGAGGAGCCUGCGGCGGAUUAGCUAGUUGGUGAGGUAACGGCUCACCAAGGUGACGAUCCGUAGCCGGCCUGAGAGGGCGGUCGGCCACACUGACACUGACAUACGGGUCAGACUCCUACGGGAGGCAGCAGUCGGGAAUUUUGGGCAAUGGGCGAAAGCCUGACCCAGCAACGCCGCGUGAAGGAUGAAAUCCCUCGGGAUGUAAACUUCGCAAGAAUGGGAAGAAUUAGUAGGGGUUAAUACCCCCUAUGAUGACGGUACCAUUUGUAAGCUCCGGCUAACUCCGUGCCAGCAGCCGCGGUAAUACGGGGGGAGCAAGCGUUGUUCGGAUUUACUGGGCGUAAAGGGCGCGUAGGCGGUCAGCACAAGUCAGUUGUGAAAUCUCCGGGCUUAACCCGGAAAGGUCAACUGAUACUGUGCGACUAGAGUGCGGAA